rnacentral:tRNA from 1 species
AAUAAUAUGGCAGAUAAAUGCAAUAAAUUGUAAAUUUAUUUAUGAGUAAAAUUCUAUUAUUA